rnacentral:rRNA from 3 species
UACAUGCAAGUCGAACGAACUCUGGUAUUGAUUGGUGCUUGCAUCAUGAUUUACAUUUGAGUGAGUGGCGAACUGGUGAGUAACACGUGGGAAACCUGCCCAGAAGCGGGGGAUAACACCUGGAAACAGAUGCUAAUACCGCAUAACAACUUGGACCGCAUGGUCCGAGUUUGAAAGAUGGCUUCGGCUAUCACUUUUGGAUGGUCCCGCGGCGUAUUAGCUAGAUGGUGGGGUAACGGCUCACCAUGGCAAUGAUACGUAGCCGACCUGAGAGGGUAAUCGGCCACAUUGGGACUGAGACACGGCCCAAACUCCUACGGGAGGCAGCAGUAGGGAAUCUUCCACAAUGGACGAAAGUCUGAUGGAGCAACGCCGCGUGAGUGAAGAAGGGUUUCGGCUCGUAAAACUCUGUUGUUAAAGAAGAACAUAUCUGAGAGUAACUGUUCAGGUAUUGACGGUAUUUAACCAGAAAGCCACGGCUAACUACGUGCCAGCAGCCGCGGUAAUACGUAGGUGGCAAGCGUUGUCCGGAUUUAUUGGGCGUAAAGCGAGCGCAGGCGGUUUUUUAAGUCUGAUGUGAAAGCCUUCGGCUCAACCGAAGAAGUGCAUCGGAAACUGGGAAACUUGAGUGCAGAAGAGGACAGUGGAACUCCAUGUGUAGCGGUGAAAUGCGUAGAUAUAUGGAAGAACACCAGUGGCGAAGGCGGCUGUCUGGUCUGUAACUGACGCUGAGGCUCGAAAGUAUGGGUAGCAAACAGGAUUAGAUACCCUGGUAGUCCAUACCGUAAACGAUGAAUGCUAAGUGUUGGAGGGUUUCCGCCCUUCAGUGCUGCAGCUAACGCAUUAAGCAUUCCGCCUGGGGAGUACGGCCGCAAGGCUGAAACUCAAAGGAAUUGACGGGGGCCCGCACAAGCGGUGGAGCAUGUGGUUUAAUUCGAAGCUACGCGAAGAACCUUACCAGGUCUUGACAUACUAUGCAAAUCUAAGAGAUUAGACGUUCCCUUCGGGGACAUGGAUACAGGUGGUGCAUGGUUGUCGUCAGCUCGUGUCGUGAGAUGUUGGGUUAAGUCCCGCAACGAGCGCAACCCUUAUUAUCAGUUGCCAGCAUUAAGUUGGGCACUCUGGUGAGACUGCCGGUGACAAACCGGAGGAAGGUGGGGAUGACGUCAAAUCAUCAUGCCCCUUAUGACCUGGGCUACACACGUGCUACAAUGGAUGGUACAACGAGUUGCGAACUCGCGAGAGUAAGCUAAUCUCUUAAAGCCAUUCUCAGUUCGGAUUGUAGGCUGCAACUCGCCUACAUGAAGUCGGAAUCGCUAGUAAUCGCGGAUCAGCAUGCCGCGGUGAAUACGUUCCCGGGCCUUGUACACACCGCCCGUCACACCAUGAGAGUUUGUAACACCCAAAGUCGGUGGGGUAACCUUUUAGGAACC